AUUGAACGCUGGCGGCAGGCCUAACACAUGCAAGUCGAGCGGAUGACGGGAGCUUGCUCCUUGAUUCAGAGGCGGACGGGAGAGUAAUGCCUAGGAAUCUGCAUGGUAGUGGGGGACAACGUUUCGCAAGGAACGCUAAUACCGCAUACGUCCUACGGGAGAAAGCAGGGGCCCUUCGGGCCUUGGGCUAUCAGAUGAGCCGGGGUCGGAUUAGCUAGUUGGUGGGGUAAUGGCUCACCAAGGGGAUGAUCCGUAACUGGUCUGAGAUGAUGCUCAGGGAAACUGGAACAGAGACGCGGUGCAGACCCCUACGGGAGGCAGCGGUGGGGAAUAUUGGAGAAUGGGCGAAAGUCUGAUCAAGCCAUGCCGCGUGUGUGAAGAAGGUCUUCGGAUUGUAAAGCGCUUUAAGUUGGGAGGAAGGGCAGUAAGUUAAUACCUUGCUGUUUUGACGUUACCGGCAGAAUAAGCACCGGCUAACUCUGUGCCAGCCGCCGCCGUAA
rnacentral:rRNA from 1 species